rnacentral:rRNA from 1 species
GACGAACGCUGGCGGCGUGCCUAAUACAUGCAAGUAGGACGCAGUUGCGAACGGGUGAGUAACACGUAGGUAACUACCUAUUAGAGGGGGAUACCUAUUGGAACCGAUAGCUAAUACCGCAUACUAGUAGAUGGACCUGCGUUGUAUUAGCUAGUAGGUAGGGUAAUGGCCUACCUAGGCAACGAUACAUAGCCGACCUGGGAGGGUAAUCGGCCACAUAGGGACUGAGACACGGCCCAAACUCCUGCGGGAGGCAGCAGUAGGGAAUCGUCCGCAAGGGGCGCAAGCCUGACGGAGCAACGCCGCGUGAGUGAAGAAGGUGUUCGGAUCGUAAAGCUCUGUUGUAAGAGAAGCGGUAUCUUACCAGAAAGCCACGGCUAACUACGUGCCAGCAGCCGCGGUAAUUC